GUUGUUUUUUAUGCACUUGAUUACAUGUCUAUUUUCCUGUAUUGAUGUGUUAAAAAUGAUCUCUCUUUCGCUCUCUCAUUGUUUUCUCAGGGUGGAUAGUCUGGGCCAAGUGGGUGGUGGUGGCGGUUAACGCUACAGAGUUUGAGUACCUGGAAGGCAGCAUAUCCUCAGAGUGGGAUGGAAGCAAGGAAGCAGCCCCCUCCAUUGAAUAGCUGGUGAGGAACCAGAACUACAGGGAGCACACAGAAGGCGAGGGAGGUGGAGGAGAGAGAGAGCUGCUUCCUAAGGAGUACGAGGAGGGGCUGGUGGCUUGGCCUACUCAGACCAUAGUCGAGGGCCACGCCGCCUUCAGCUUCGGCCAGCCAGAGACCAGCGAGGAGCAUGUCAGAACAGCUAACAUAUUCCAGCCUGACUCCUGGACACCCACAGCCGAGAUAUACACACAGACACAAAAAAAACAACAGUAUUGCGAUACUGGAUUUUCCAGUGUAAAACAUAAAACCCGAAGCAGUCUGAACUCUUGUCUUUUAAAAACCUGCUGUUGUGUGAACUGUUUACGUUAUUAAGAAAUGUCUGCUUAUGUUUGGAUCCUUAUUUCCUUGCCAUGAUACUGGUACCUAACGCACACUAUGGUACACACACAAUACAGUAUAUACACGAAAUAGAACUUCACAAGUUACCUUCCAUCCUCGCCACCAUUGUUCAGUGACCCACCUGAAAAGACUGGUCAAUUGAAAGCAGCAAGGUAGAGGAAGGAAGCUUCAUAAUCCCUCUCCUUUAGUAUAGGGAACUUGGGGCUGGAAGGUAGACUGGAUUGUAUUCAUUAGUGCACACCUUAGCAAAAUGCUUGGCAAUGGAAACAGGUCAUUUCAAACAAGUUUGACGUAAGUGGUUUCCAACCGCAACACGUUUUAUUACGGUUUGCAGUAAUGAAUACAACAGACAUUAUGUAUACUAAUGGGAGCUCUCUUACAUGAAAAACCUUUUGUGUUGAAUCAGGGAAUACUUAAUAUAUAUAUGGCAUUCAUGGGGUGUAGAAGACACAUUUUCUGAUCUCCCCAACUAUAAAGGCUUUGUAUAUGAGUUGUGUUGUAGGUAAUCAAGGUAUAUUUGAUGAUUUUUUUGUGGAUUGUAAAUUAAACUACCAGGCUUGCGCAAACUGGGAUGUGAUGUAGUGCUGGCAAGUAGGUGGUAGUGUUUCUCAGUUGGUAGAUCAUGGCGAUUGCAAUGUCAUAAUGGUGGGUUUGAUUCCCGCUGGGGCCACCCAUAUAAAAAGGUAUGCACACACUAUUGUAAGUUGAUUUGGAUAAAGUGUUUGCCCAAAUGGCAUACAAAUAAAUAUUUUCAUUUUUUAUGUCUUUAC